UAAUGGGUAAAGAAGCACCGGCUACUACGUGCCAGCAGCGCGGUGAUACGUAGGGUGCGAGCGUGUCCGGAUUUAUUGGGCGUAAAGGGCUCGUAGGUGGUUGAUCGCGUCGGAAGUGUAAUCUUGGGGCUUAACCCUGAGCGUGCUUUCGAUACGGGUUGACUUGAGGAAGGUAGGGGAGAAUGGAAUUCCUGGUGGAGCGGUGGAAUGCGCAGAUAUCAGGAGGAACACCAGUGGCGAAGGCGGUUCUCUGGGCCUUUCCUGACGCUGAGGAGCGAAAGCGUGGGGAGCGAACAGGCUUAGAUACCCUGGUAGUCCACGCUGUAAACGGUGGGUACUAGGUGUGGGGUCCAUUCCACGGGUUCCGCGCCGUAGCUAACGCUUUAAGUACCCCGCCUGGGGAGUACGGCCGCAAGGCUAAAACUCAAAGGAAUUGACGGGGCCCCGCACAAGCGGCGGAGCAUGCGGAUUAAUUCGAUGCAACGCGUAGAACCUUACCUGGGUUUGACAUGGAUCGGGAGUGCUCAGAGAUGGGUGUGCCUCUUUUGGGGUCGGUUCACAGGUGGUGCAUGGCUGUCGUCAGCUCGUGUCGUGAGAUGUUGGGUUAAGUCCCGCAACGAGCGCAACCCUUGUUCACUGUUGCCAGCACGUUAUGGUGGGGACUCAGUGGAGACCGCCGGGGUCAACUCGGAGGAAGGUGGGGAUGACGUCAAGUCAUCAUGCCCCUUAUGUCCAGGGCUUCACGCAUGCUACAAUGGCUGGUACAGAGAGUGGCGAGCCUGUGAGGGUGAGCGAAUCUCGGAAAGCCGGUCUCAGUUCGGAUUGGGGUCUGCAACUCGACCUCAUGAAGUCGGAGUCGCUAGUAAUCGCAGAUCAGCAACGCUGCGGUGAAUACGUUCCCGGGGCUUGUACACACCGCCCGUCAAGUCAUGAAAGUUGGUAACACCCGAAGCCGGUGGCCUAACCGUUGUGGGGAGCCGUCGAAGGUGGACUGAUGUCC
rnacentral:rRNA from 1 species